rnacentral:rRNA from 1 species
GCUUGUCUCAAAGAUUAAGCCAUGCAUGUCUAAGUAUAAACAAAUCUAUACUGUGAAACUGCGAAUGGCUCAUUAUAUCAGUUAUAGUUUAUUUGAUGGUUCUUGCUACUUGGAUAACCGUAGUAAUUCUAGAGCUAAUACAUGCAUCAAACCCCGACUUCUGGAAGGGGUGUAUUUAUUAGAUACAAAACCGACCCGAGGUUCGCCUCGGAACCGUUGGUGAUUCAUAAUAACUAAGCGAAUCGCAUAGGCUUGCCUGGCGAUGGAUCUUUCAAGUUUCUGACCUAUCAGCUAUCGACGGUAGGGUAUUGGCCUACCGUGGCUAUGACGGGUAACGGAGAAUCAGGGUUCGAUUCCGGAGAGGGAGCCUGAGAAACGGCUACCACAUCUAAGGAAGGCAGCAGG